UUCUGAUGCCCCUUUGGUUCACACCAUAAGGGCUCAUGAAAAAAGUUCUGUAAUCGCACCCAUGCUCUCUAGAAACACAUUCAAUGCUCCAGUUAAAUUGAACAUCUACUCAGACACAGGCCAUACAGAACACAACUCAGUUGUUGAUCAUGAACAUGUGACAAGUGUUUUGAUGAAGCAUAAAACCAGACUGAGGAAGAAGUUCAAAUUCAUAUGUGAGGGUGAUUCUAAAAUUGAGCACAAAACCCUCUUCCAAAAGAUUUAUACAGGACUCUUUAUCACAGAGAGACAAUCCAGAAUGGAGAGAGAAUGUGAUCAUGAGGUUCAUCAGAUUGAAAGAAAAUUCAGUACACAGUCCAAGCAUUAUACUCCUAUUCAUUGCAAUGAUAUUUUCAUUGAAAUUCCUAAAUGGAAACCAAAUACAGAACCGAAAGAGGAAGUUGAAGGAGAGGCAGAGGCAGA